AAAAAUACAAACACACACACAUAUCCUUUUUUAUUAUGAUUUUUCUCAUACACUAUCUUUUUACAUGUAAAAAGAAAUAUCAAAAAUUCAAAUUACCCAAACACCUUAACAGUUCCCAAAAUUACAUAACACAUUCCACAUAAAAAAUAAUAAUUACAUAAUAGCCCCUGAAAAUCCAGGAAACUGCUGGGAAGGCUUCUGGACCAACAAAAACACUGGCGGCGCGUCUCCUCCACGCGCUGCCGCGAGGAAUAAACUGGAAACGGUGGGAUCUGGCUCAUCCUCUUCUCCCCUUCCUUUCCUCGUCGGCGGUGACCUGCAAGAACAACCAAAACGCAACAAAGCAGUCGAUUUUAGUUCUCUCUUCUCUUUCUCAGAUCUGGUUCAUUCGGUUUUUUGGAUCUGCUUCACUGCAGAUCGGUCUCCUUCGGUCAUCUUCUUCUUCUCCUCUGUUCCAUGUGCUGCACGGCAAGGAGGAACAGACGAGGGAGUGGUGUCGCUGCUGGAGGCGGUGAGCUGGGUCUGCUGGCCUGUGGGUUGCUGCUGUUUGCGAUUCUGCUGGCGUUUGGCGAGCUGGCCGCUGGUUCAGAAAGAAAGAGCUGAGGGCCGGUUCCCUGUGUCAGUGGGCGGCGGUGUUGUCUUGGCCGCGAGGGAGAGUGAAGGCCAGUGGAGGGGCACGGCUGGCUGGCUUUGGGUCACAAAGCAGGGGCCAGCGGGAUUUUUGGAGGAGCAGGGUCUUGGCUGGCGGCUGUGUUGAUGACCAGGAGAUGGACCCUGUGGCUGAGGCUCUUCGUUUUUUUUCUUUCCAAAAGAGAGGAGGGGGCUGCGGCUACAGUGUUGGAAAAAUAGGGAGAAGAUAGGGCCGGCCGCUUUGUUUUUAAGAUGUGGCCAGGGGAGAUGGUUUUCUUUUUUUCAAGGGAGGGGGCGGUCGGCCUCAACAAGGGAAAGAGGGGAGACCAAAUGGCCAAAGGGAGAAGUGGCAGCUGAGGGGGGAUCUGGUUUUUUGUUUCAAAGGGAGAGGGGCCGCCGACCUCUGGUUCGCUUCCCCGAGAGAGGAAGGGUGGCCAGCUGCCCUCUCUUUGUGUGGGGUUCUCUCCGGUUUGCUUUCCCAAAGCCAAAGGAGUGGGGGGCUGUGUGUUGGUUUCAGAGGGUGGCGGCUGCUAUGGUUUUUUUGUAGGUUUAGGUUUUUUCCUUUCUUUCCCUCAGUUUUUCUCCGCCCCUCAUGCCUGUAAAAUUUUUCUCCCCCCCUGCUAUUUCACUGUAGCAUAGUAUUUAUAGGAAAAGUUUUGCUAGGUUUUCAAAUUAGUCCCUCAACUUUUUCCUUUUCUUUUCUUUUCCUCUUUUUUUUUUUUUAUAAAUUUUGAUUUUUCUUAUUUUUUUGUAUUUUUGAAAGCGAGCAAUAUCAACAUCAACUCAACAAGGAAAAUCAGUGAUCAUAAAAUUUACGCGUUAAAAGUUGAACGCGUUCCAAAUACCUUUGAAAAUUUUGAUAUUAGAUAAAUAACUAUGUUAGUUUACAUAGAGAUCAGUCAUUGUUUUAUGAGCAGACAAACUAACCAUACACCCAAUCCAUUCUUCUCAUGAUACAAACCCUAUAUAUAUAUAUAUAUAUAUAGACAGACAGAUAUAUAUAUAUAUACCCAUAAAAAAGAAGCAGUUAAGAAGCGAAGAAAGUAUAUAAAACAAGGGCAUAAUUCAUGGUCGAGAGAGUUGGGUCUUUGUUUCCUUACUUUUGGUUUUGGAAAUUCAGCUUUUGCUUCUGG
rnacentral:lncRNA from 1 species